CAAAGGCAGACAUCCCUAAUGAACUCCCAAGAAUGCACUCCUUCUCAGAAGAGCAAUCGGAUAGCCUGCCAGGACUAAGCUACCCAGGUUUGGUUCAGGGCUGAAGCUGUUUGCCAGUCAUGGAGAGUAAAUGCUCACAAAUCAUCUGGGAGGUACGGACAAGAGAAGCAAGGUCCGGGGAAGCUGACUUGCCUAAGACUUGGGAGGUGCUGACAUUGUGGCUGGUCCAGGGACCACACCUUGAGAACCUUUCCUGCUGGCAUCUAUCCAGAGUGACUGUGGAAAGACAAUAA
rnacentral:lncRNA from 1 species